rnacentral:rRNA from 1 species
UACGGAGGGUGCAAGCAUUGAUCGGAAUUACUGGGCGUAAAGGGCGCGUAGGCGGCUUUGAAAGUCAGAUGUGAAAUUCCGGGGCUCAACCCCGGAGCUGCAUUUGAAACUUCCGAGCUUAGAGGAUGGUAAGGGAAAACGGAAUUCCACGUGUAGCGGUGAAAUGCGUAGAUAUGUGGAAGAACACCAGUGGUGAAGACGGUUUUCUGUGCCAA